GUACAGGGUCUACAGGAUAAAUCCUGAGGGCCUUGACUGACCUUGUACGAUACAAAAGUUACAUUUUUUGUUAUAUAAAUCUUGCUUUAUCUUGGUCUUAACCAUCCAGCAGGAGAGCA